UCCAUUGACUUUACAUGUAAACCUGACGCUCUGGCCGCCUCUAUCGCGUUCGGUGUGAACGCAAGGGUCUUAGCGGAUGCAGUCGAAUAACUAUUACAAAGGGUUACAAUCAACCCUCUUUGUUAAAAAGUCCUCCUGCCAGGGCAUGCGUUACCUGCAUGAGAGGAGCAUGAUUCCCCCAGGGGCCAAUAGCCAAUCAGAGUGCGCACCGUCCCCUCCUUGCUGUGGCAAUUAAAAGUGUAGUCGGAGAGUAACGCUGCUGCGGGCAAGUUAUGGACUUGAAUUGAAUCGGACUAAGGCGGGCAAGUGUGCGUUCAUAGAACCAAACCACAUCCUUACUUGCCAGCGAGAGUGUGUGUUCAAUGUGGGCUCGUGGAAAAUAAAGUUCUUCCACUCUGACAUCAUUCCCCGUCUCUGACCGGACGUUAUUACCAGGGAACAGUACAGAAUCACGGGCAGCACGGUGGCACGGUGGUUAGUACUGUUGCCGCACAGCAAGAAGGUCCUGAGUUCAAUUCCACCAUCAGGCCGGGGUCUUUCUGUUUGGAGUCUGCAUGUUCUCCCUGUGUUUGCGUGGGUUUCCUCUGGGUACUCCGGCUUCCUCCCACUGUCCAAAGACAUGCAUCUUGUGGGGAUAGGUAAAUUGGGUGUACCAGGGUGUACCCCGCCUCUCGCCCUAUGACAGCUGGGAUCGGCUCCAGUGCCCCCCCGCAACCCUGAAAAGGAUAAGCGGAAGUGAAUGGAUGGACAGUACAGAAUCACGUUCCCAAGAUAGUGGUCCAGGGCGUCUGCUAUAACACUCGUCAUUU